rnacentral:rRNA from 1 species
UACGGAGGGGACUAGCGUUGUUCGGAAUUAUUGGGCGUAAAGGGCUCGUAGGCGGUCUGUCGCGUCGGGAGUGAAAACUCAGGGCUUAACCCUGAGCCUGCUUCCGAUACGGGCAGACUAGAGGUAUGCAGGGGAGAACGGAAUUCCUGGUGUAGCGGUGGAAUGCGCAGAUAUCAGGAGGAACACCGGUGGCGAAGGCGGUUCUCUGGGCAUUACCUGACGCUGAGGAGCGAAAGUGUGGGGAGCGAACAGG